AUUGAACGCUGGCGGCAUGCCUAACACAUGCAAGUCGAACGGUAACAGGAAUGAUCUCGCUGUUUGGCUGAUGACUGGCGGACGAGUGAUUCAUGUCAGCGUAACCUCCUGUUGGAGGUGGCUCACCACUGGACGCGUUAGUACAUCACGCAUUACAUCGAUAAACCCAGGAGGCGUUCCUUCCUGCCUCUUUCCAUCUGGUCUGUCCAUGUGGGAUUAGCUAGUUGGUGGGGUAACGGCCCACCUAGGCGACGAUCCCUAGCUGGUCUGAGAGGCUGACCAGCCACACUGGGACUGAGACACGGUCCAGACUCCUACGGGAGGCAGCAGUGGGGAAUAUUGGACAAUGGGCGAAAGCCUGAUGCAGCCAUGCCGCGUGUAUGAAGAAGGCCUUCGGGUUGUAAAGUACUUUCGGCGGGGAGGAAGGGAGUAGAGUUAAUACCUUCGCUCAUUGACGUUACCCGAAGAAGAAGCACCGGCUAACUCCGUG
rnacentral:rRNA from 1 species